GUGGGUAUAGCUCAGUAGUAGAGUGUGUGCUUAGCAUGCUUGAGAUCCUAGGUUCAAUCCCCAGUACCCCCA
rnacentral:tRNA from 1 species